UACGGAGGGGGCUAGCGUUGUUCGGAAUUACUGGGCGUAAAGCGCACGUAGGCGGCUUUUUAAGUCAGAGGUGAAAGCCCGGGGCUCAACUCCGGAACUGCCUUUGAGACUGGAAGGCUUGAACGUCGGAGAGGUGAGUGGAAUUCCGAGUGUAGAGGUGAAAUUCGUAGAUAUUCGGAAGAACACCAGUGGCGAAGGCGGCUCACUGGACGACUGUUGACGCUGAGGUGCGAAAGCGUGGGGAGCAAACAGG
rnacentral:rRNA from 1 species